CACAAACCCGAUUAUCUCUUUCUGAACAAGGAGGGAAAUACUGGACCUGAGUUAUCAGAAGCCAGCAACAAGAAAACCCACAACCCUGGAUGUGGCUGAAUGGCAAUAUUAGCACCAAAUACAGAAGAUGGGAAACAGUGAUGGAUUAGAGUUUCCCCAAUUCUUCUCCAGAGAAUAUGAAGUUAACUUUCAGAAGGACUUAGCGCAGCCUGUUUGGUGGAUCAUUGUCACCUAUGCACAUGUAUUAUGCUAAGUGUGGAUACUCAUACUAUGGUACCUUAUUUUCAGUUUGAUAUCACCUUCAACUUCAAAUUCUGUGACUCUGGGUGAAAGCACAUCGUGUCUUGCCAAAUGCUAGUACUCUCCCCUGAGUCUAGCUCCCUGCCUUCACUUAAUGAUUAUUGGGCAUAAUUACUGAGGUUGCGCUGAUCAGCAUGCCACCCUGACAGCUGUUUUAACCUUCCUCUGAUAAAGGGCAAAUAUCAUCUCAUCAUCUUUGGGUUAUUACGCUUGCUUCAUACUCAGUGAUUAUUGACUCCGUACCACCACCUCAAAUUUAAAUAAAAGGCCACUUAUACCAUAUUAGAUAACGUGU
rnacentral:lncRNA from 1 species